GAUGAAGAACGUAGCGAAAUGCGAUAAGUAAUGUGAAUUGCAGAAUUCAGUGAAUCAUCGAAUCUUUGAACGCACCUUGCACCCUUUGGCAUUCCGAAGGGUAUGCUCGUUUGAGUGUCAUUGUACUCUCACACUUCCAAUCUUUGGAUUGGGGGCGGUGGACUUGGGUGUUGCUGCUUACUGUGGCUCACCUCAAAUUGAUUCGUGCACCUCUUGGUUGGACAUAGUACGGCGUGAUAAGUGUCUUCGCCGGCACCUCAGUAGAGGGUGGCUGAUCGGGAGCUCUGUGCUUCAAACCGUCCUCGGACAACAACUGACAACUUGACCUCAAAUCGAGUAGGACUACCCGCUGAACUUAAGCAUAUCAAUAAGCGGAGGA
rnacentral:misc_RNA from 1 species